UAGACUGCAAGUCGAGCGAUUUUUGUAGCACUACCAAGAGAGCGGCAAACGGGUGCCUAACACCUGAGCCAUCUGCCCUUAAGACCCGAAUAGCCCCGGGAAACUUGGAUUAAUACCGGAUGUGGAGGAGUCCGGCAUCUGACUUCUUCCCAAGCUUGUGAUGGCGCUUAAGGAGGAGCUCCCGGCCUAUCCGCUAGUUGGCGAGGUAACGGCUCCCCCAGGCUAAGACGGGUAACUGGUCUGAGAGGAUGAUCAGUCCCCCUGGAACUGAGACCCGGUCCAGACACCUACCGGUGGCAGCAGUUUCCAAUCCUUCACAAUGGGGGCAACCCUGAUGGCGCCACCCCCCCUGGGGGAUGAAGGUCUUCCGAUUGUAAACUCCUGUCAUUGGGGACUAAUGGCCCGGCUCAUACCCUGGUUUGAAUUAACCCAAAGAGGAAGCAGUGGCUAACUCUGUGCCAGCAGCCGCGGUAAUACAGAGACUGCCAGCGUUACUCGGAUUCACUGGGCGUAAAGGGAGCGCAGGCGGACUCAUGUGUCGGACGUGAAAUACCGGGGCUUAACCCCGGUGCUGCGUCCGAAACUAUGAGUCUAGAGACUUGGAGGGGUAAGCGGAAUUCUUGGUGGAGCAGUGAAAUGCGUAGAUAUCAAGAGGAACACCAACGGCGAAGGCAGCUUACUGGACAAGAUCUGACGCUCAGGCUCGAAAGCGUGGGGAGCAAAAGGGAUUAGAUACCCCUGUAGUC
rnacentral:rRNA from 1 species